GCGAGGGUGGUGGAACUGGUAGACACGCAUGACUUAGGAUCAUGUGCCACUGGCGUGGGGGUUCGAGUCCCCCCCUUCGCACCA
rnacentral:tRNA from 1 species